rnacentral:rRNA from 1 species
UACGUAGGUGACAAGCGUUGUCCGGAUUUACUGGGCGUAAAGAGCGCGCAGGCGGUCGUUCAAGUCGAGUGUGAAAGCCCCCGGCUCAACUGGGGAGGGUCAUUCGAUACUGAUCGACUCGAAGGCAGGAGAGGGUAGUGGAAUUCCCGGUGUAGUGGUGAAAUGCGUAGAUAUCGGGAGGAACACCAGUGGCGAAGGCGACUUCCUGGCCUGUUCUUGACGCUGAGGCGCGAAAGCUAGGGGAGCAAACAGGG